AUUGAACGCUGGCGGCAGGCUUAACACAUGCAAGUCGAACGAGUGGCGGACGGGUGCGUACUGCUCGGGAAUCUAGCUUAUGGCGGGGGAUAACUACGGGAAACUGUAGCUAAUACCGCGUACCAUAGGAUGAGCCCAAGCUGGAUUAUGUAGUUGGUGAGGUAAAGGCUCACCAAGCCGACGAUCUCUAGCUGGUCUGAGAGGAUGACCAGCCACACUGGGACUGAGACACGGCCCAGACUCCUGCGGGCAGCAGCAGUAGGGAAUAUUGCACGAUGGGCGCAAGCCUGAUGCAGCCAUGCCGCGUGUAUGAAGAAGGCCUUAGGAUUGUAAAGUACUUUCAGCGGAGAGGCGUUACCCGCAGAAGAAGCACCGGCUAACUCCGUGCCAGCAGCCGCGGUAAUUC
rnacentral:rRNA from 1 species